AUGGCGGGCAACGCGCGCUGGCAAGUCCUGUUCGCGGCGGACAUCACGGCGGCGCGGCGGAUCUCGCUGACCGAGGGUGUGCUCUGGCUCCGACGCGAGGCUCUCCGCAUCGUGCUCCUUGACGACCGCGGGGAAACCGUGGACGCUUGUUUCCUUCGCGAGGGUGAGUUUAUCGACAUCGGUGAUAUCGUCCCCUUCCCGUGUCACUUUGCUAGGGUUCGGGACAGGAUUCCGGUGACGCCCGCGGCGGUCGGCGCGGCAGCACCGUCGUGUGGCACGGCUGCGCACGGGACCGUGAAGGGCGACGUGCCGGCUGCGGUUCACGAGACGAUUGGGCGCGCGGGUCCUCGCGCGAGACGCUCUCCACCGCUCCUGACAGCUGGGCCGGGGGUGCUGGGGCGUGGACCGGUCCGCCAUGAGACCGAUGGUUGCCACGUGGGGGACGAGAAAUCUGACCGUCAUGAGUCGAGCGAUGCUAGGGUUUCGGGGGCUGGGGCAGGUAUUAAGCGCCCCGCCGCUCCAAUCCCCCCCCCCCCCAAAUUCUCGAUCUUGAAGAGUGCCUCUCCCACUUCUGGGACACCCCACCACCUUCUAGAUCUAGGGUUCAUCAAUCCUUCUCGUGGUGGGAGGGGAAAAUCCAUGGCGAUGGCCGCUCGUUUGCUCAAGUAG
rnacentral:rRNA from 1 species